AUUAGGACGUGGGCGUAUGAGACAUUUGGUUCAGAGAAGGCAAUUUUGUUGGUUGCAAUGGCUACGCCUGAGGACAUGAGGAUAAAUGCAGAACACAUUAGAAUAGCUGAUCAGUUUGUAGAAGUUCCUGGUGGGACGAAUAACAACAACUAUGCUAAUGUGCAGCUCAUUGUGGAGAUGGCAGAGAUGACUCGUGUCGAUGCAGUUUGGCCUGGUUGGGGUCAUGCAUCAGAAAACCCUGAACUGCCAGAUGCAUUGGAUGCAAAGGGGAUCAUAUUUCUUGGACCACCAGCUACGUCAAUGGCAGCACUAGGAGACAAAAUUGGUUCAUCUUUGAUUGCUCAAGCUGCAGAAGUCCCCACCCUUCCUUGGAGUGGCUCCCAUGUCAAAGUUCCUCCAGAAAGCUCUUUGGUUUGUAUCCCAGAUGAAAUAUAUG
rnacentral:misc_RNA from 1 species